AGCGAACGCUGGCGGCAUGCCUAACACAUGCAAGUCGCACGGGGGGGCUUCGGCCUCCCUGUGGCGGACGGGUGAGGAACGCGUCGGGCCCUGUCGUGGGGCGGGGGAUACCCGCGGGAAACUGCGGCUAAUACCGCAUGACGCCGCGCCGUGACAGCCGGGUCCUAAGUGGAACGCCGCCCGCCGAGGGGCCUUCGUCCCAUUAGCUGGUUGGCGGGGUAGCGGCCCACCAAGGCGUGGAGCGGUAGCUGGGCUGAGCGGGGGGUCAGGAACACCGGGACUGGGAGACGGAGGGGACUCUUAGGGGAGGCAGCAAUGGGGAAUAUGGGACGAUGGGCGCGAGCAGGAGCCAGCAGGGCCGUGUGGGUGAAGAAGGUGUUCAGAUUGUAAGGCCCUGUCGGAGGGGACGAUGGUGACGGUACCCGAAGAAGAAGCCCCGGCUAACUUCGUG
rnacentral:rRNA from 1 species